UACGUAGGGUGCAAGCGUUAUUCGGAAUUAUUGGGCGUAAAGGGCGCGUAGGCGGCUUGGCAAGUGGAAGGUGAAAUCCCUCGGCUUAACCGAGGAACUGCCCUCCAAACUGCUUAGCUUGAGACCGGGAGAGGUGAGUGAAAUUCCCAGUGUAGCGGUGAAAUGCGUAGAUAUUGGGAGGAACACCAGUGGCGAAGGCGGCUCACUGGACCGGUACUGACGCUGAUGCGCGAAAGCGUGGGGAGCAAACGGG
rnacentral:rRNA from 1 species